AGCCUGCCAAGUCAUGCAGCCAGGGAGGGUCAAAGGGACCCAUGCAGGUAGACGGCAUAUCAACUUGGAUACACCACUCCCACGUGAGGCCAGCCAACGAGAACGACCUAGAACGGUGCCAGAGCCAGUAGAGAGCGACAGUAGACCCAGAAAACCCACUGAAAGUCAGGCUGACUCAAGUAGCAGCAGCGCCACGAAAAGCCAGCUGAGUCCUAUUCCUCUUGGACUACUAGUUAUACUGUCUAGACUCAGACUCGGGGCUGUGGCACCUGGAGAUUAGACCUCACUACAAAAAUGUAUGCAGGGUUUGUUUUGUAUCUCCUUGAGAGCAUUUUGUUAAUGAGUGGGGGUGUUGUAAGUGUGAUAAACAAUUUCAAUCCCCACAAACCCCAUAACCUGACAUGAAAAAUUGUCAAUCAAGAAACCCACGAGGUCUAGAACGUGACCUCUGGGGUGGCCCCCUUAAACAGUUGGUGGCCGGACUUAUAUUUUAACUUAGAAAAAGUUAACCCCCUA